rnacentral:misc_RNA from 1 species
GCAAACUUGGUCAUUUAGAGGAAGUAAAAGUCGUAACAAGGUUUCCGUAGGUGAACCUGCGGAAGGAUCAUUACAAAUGACCUGGCAGCUGAUAAUCUCUGCAGCCUCAUGGUCAAAAUACUGUACCGUAGUCGUGUUUCGGCAUGUCUUCGUGUCCACCCAUUGUGAACCUUUUUACUUUGCUUUGGCAGCACUCUAUGUUUAAAACAUAUGGAGAUAAGGCUGUCGAUAGCUCAUAUAAAACUAGUUAUUAUUAUCAUGCUGUCUGAAAUCUUUUGAGAAAUCAAAUAUAAGUUAAAACUUUCAGCAACGGAUCUCUUGGUUCUCGCAUCGAUGAAGAACGCAGC